GAAGGGUGCAAGCGUUACUCGGAAUUACUGGGCGUAAAGCGUGCGUAGGUGGUUCGUUAAGUCUGAUGUGAAAGCCCUGGGCUCAACCUGGGAAUGGCAUUGGAAACUGGCGACCUAGAGUGCGGUAGAGGGCAGUGGAAUUCCCGGUGUAGCAGUGAAAUGCGUAGAGAUCGGGAGGAACAUCUGUGGCGAAGGCGACUGCCUGGACCAGCACUGACACUGAGGCACGAAAGCGUGGGGAGCAAACAGGAUUAGAUACCCUGGUAGUCCACGCCCUAAACGAUGCGAACUGGAUGUUGGGUGCAACUAGGCACUCAGUAUCGAAGCUAACGCGUUAAGUUCGCCGCCUGGGGAGUACGGUCGCA
rnacentral:rRNA from 1 species